GGGGGAUAUCCUGGUGGUAUCACCAUACGCUGAUAUUGAAAGAGACCCGCAGUAGUUUAUCUUAACAAGAGCUGAGCUUAUAUUCUGCGCAAUCGCGUGUGGAUCGCAAUUCUUCGGCACCUGACAGUUCUCGAUGUCCCACCACACCGAAACCUUGGCCUUCACAUACUGCUCCUCCGCCGCAUCCGUCUGCUGCGACUGCACUCCGCCUCCGCCCAUAUUCUUUGGUUAGCUUAAACUAAAACCGAGCAAUUUUGUGUGAUUGGAUUGAUCUAUUUACAGUGUAGUAGGAGUAUUGAUUGGGCUAGACUUUUACUUGACGAAGAAAGGCGCACGAUAGCAUUUGAUAACGCGGUUUUCAACGGUGCGUACGAUUGGACAGACUUAGGAAUGAGUGUUGGGGUGGUUUGGAUUUGGUGGUACGUGUUUGGCUGAGCUUAAAUCCACUAAGCCCGCUGUUUGACACUCAUUAUUUCAGCUCUUUUU
rnacentral:lncRNA from 1 species